GACGUAGGGCGCGAGCGUUGUCCGGAUUUAUUGGGCGUAAAGAGCUCGUAGGCGGCUUGUCGCGUCGUCCGUGAAAACCCACAGCUCAACUGUGGGCUUGCGGUCGAUACGGGCAGGCUAGAGUUCAGUAGGGGAGACUGGAAUUCCUGGUGUAGCGGUGAAAUGCGCAGAUAUCAGGAGGAACACCGGUGGCGAAGGCGGGUCUCUGGGCCGAUACUGACGCUGAGGAGCGAAAGCGUGGGGAGCGAACAGG
rnacentral:rRNA from 1 species